GUCUCUGUAGUUAAAUGGAUAUAACUACUCCGUCCUAAGGAGUAAUUGUAGGUUCGAUUCCUGCCAGAGACA
rnacentral:tRNA from 1 species